rnacentral:rRNA from 1 species
UACGUAGGGGGCUAGCGUUGUCCGGAAUCAUUGGGCGUAAAGCGCGCGUAGGCGGCCAGAUAAGUCCGGUGUGAAAGUCACAGGCUCAACCUGUGAAUGCCGCUGGAAACUGUCUGGCUAGAGUCCGGAAGGGGCGAGUGGAAUUCCUGGUGUAGCGGUGAAAUGCGCAGAUAUCAGGAGGAACACCAAUGGCGAAGGCGGCUCACUGGCCCGGUACUGACGCUGAGGUGCGAAAGCGUGGGGAGCAAACAGG